GAGCGCACGGGGCGCCGGAGGCCACGAAGUUGGAGCUUGUGUCGUUUGCGGGGAGCAGCAGAGCCUCCGAGACUGGAGAAAGAAAGCAGGAGACCCAAGAGGCUGAUUCUGGAGGAGCGAGGACUGAACCGAGUGCUGGAAGGGCGUAGGAGUUCAAUCUCCGGAGGGAACUAGAUUCCACAGGCUUCAGCUAAGAGUUGGCCGGCAGCGACUGAAGAUCCCACACGUCGAAGCUAAAAAGAUGCCCCAACUAAAAGUUGCAGCUGUGUGCUGCAACUAAGA